AGCGAACGCUGGCGGCAGGCCUAACACAUGCAAGUCGAACGCCUGUAGCAAUACAGGAGUGGCAGACGGGUGAGUAACACGUGGGAACGUGCCCUUCGGUUCGGAAUAACUCAGGGAAACUUGGGCUAAUACCGGAUACGUCCGCGAGGAGAAAGAUUCAUCGCCGAAGGAUCGGCCCGCGUCCGAUUAGCUAGUUGGUGGGGUAAUGGCUCACCAAGGCGACGAUCGGUAGCUGGUCUGAGAGGAUGAUCAGCCACACUGGGACUGAGACACGGCCCAGACUCCUACGGGAGGCAGCAGUGGGGAAUAUUGGACAAUGGGCGCAAGCCUGAUCCAGCCAUGCCGCGUGGGUGAUGAAGGCCCUAGGGUUGUAAAGCCCUUUCGGCGGUGAAGAUAAUGACGGUACCCGCAGAAGAAGCCCCGGCUAACUUCGUGCCAGCAGCCGCAGUAAGAC
rnacentral:rRNA from 1 species